CUCUGUGGGAUGUUGGAGCAGGCUUCCUGGAGGAAGCAGGAUUCAGUCACCAAAAUUUUCCAGAAGAAGAAGAUCUUGGUGACGUACAGUUUCCGUCAGUCUUUCCCCCUCGUGGAAAUGCACAUGCAGCUCUUCCAGAAUUCAUAUUACCAGUUUGGGAUCAAGUUGCUGUCUGCAGUACCUGGUGGGGAGCGAAAAGUCCUCAUCAUCUUCAAUGCCCCCAGCCUCCAGGACCGGCUGCGCUUUACAUCCGACCUGCGCGAGUCCAUUGCGGAGGUGCAGGAGAUGGAGAAAUACCGUGUGGAGUCGGAGCUGGAGAAGCAGAAAGGUAUGAUGCGGCCUAACGCCUCACAGCCUGGAGGGGCCAAGGACUCAGUGAAUGGGACGAUGGCCCGCAGUAGCCUGGAGGACACUUACGGGGCAGGCGAUGGGCUCAAACGGGGCGCACUCAGCAGUUCCCUGCGAGACCUCUCUGAUGCAGGGGUCUGUUAUUAGCAGUCCACGCCCUCACCAGAGGAUGCCACCUCCGCCCCCACCCCCGCCGCCAGAGGAGUACAAGAGCCAGAGGCC
rnacentral:sRNA from 1 species